UGUCAAGUGUGAAGUUUGAAUAUUUUUGCGUGCGUGCGUUAAGAAAAGAAUUUGUUUGAAAGUGAAUAAAUUUUUGUGCAAGAGAAGUAUGAAUAGGAUGCCGUUAUUAAGAUCUUCAAUUGGCACCAACUUCAAUAUGAAGGAAAACCGAAGUGGAUACCGGCCGACCGAUAAUCGGGGUCAACAGGAAGCUGUUCAAACAGGGGUGUAGCAGCAAGCCAUCGAUCGACGACUCUUCGAUCAAUCUGUCGAACACGACUUUUCAAUUUCCACGCGUAGGUUGAUUCGGGUCGGCCCCAUACGAGGGUUCGAAUGAAACCUCUAAAGAGGCCGCCGCCGGGAAAUUCGGGGCGCUGACUCCGGGUUAGAAUUAGAAAGGAUUAUCGGAUCAAACGAUGGAUGCUGACUGCGGAUAGAUAAAUCUCGCUGAUGAAGAUCGGCUGAUAAUGGCCCUCGUGGCGUGAUUGAAUCGAGUGACCCACUAAAGGAAACAUUAAUCCACGAUGAAUUGUUAUUAAUCACGACCGCGCGAUCUUAUCCUUCGAUUUUUCCUUCGAUGUUAAUGUGGAACGGCGAAAGUGGAAGAACUUGGAAGAAACGGAUAAGAGAAAAGACUUAAUAAAAUUGGAAAGGAUUUGAACUCGUGAUGGAUAAUGGAGAUAUAUUCGAGAUUGUAUCUUCUCACACGACAGGUUUCACAUAUCCCUCUGUAAUUAAAUGAUACGUACAAGGAAGUGAUUAAAGAUUAAUUUCACUUCUUCGGAAUGAAUUUUUCCAUAGAAAAACUUGCGGCACGUUACGAACGUUAAAGUUUGAUUAAAAAUAGAAAUUCCAUUAUCGAUUAAAUUGUUUUGUUUGCACGAAGACUUUCUCGUCUCUCGGUAAUAUAACGUUAACGAUUGACCGAAAUAUGGCUGGUUCAGGAACUCGGAAUCUGAACGAGCAGUGUCAGCCAAAUUACCGAUUCGAAGUGAUCGAUACUGACUACAACCCUACAAUGAAGACCCAGAUGCAUCGUUUCCUCCGCGUCUCUUUGAAAUCGAAUUUCGGCCAUUAUAGUUAUUCGAAUUACCGAAAACCUCGAGGCUUCUCCAGCCUCUGCUCCGUAUUUAACGUUUUAUUGCCGAGGCUGUUGGCGAAUGAAGCCGUGGAAACUGGUACUUGAAAUCCAUGGUAUUUGAAUUUGUCGAUUUACUUAUGGAAAUUGGGGCUUCCUUCCCCGACCAAGGAAGAAGAUUUUCGGAAAUAUUAUCGUCCAAACUACUCGUUCAAGAGCCUCUCGCCGAGAAGUCAUUUAAUGGCAAAGCGAAUUUCGUUGGAAAUUUUUAGAACGUCGUCGUCGAUAUUUCUUGAAGAGUGCUAUUCGAGAAGAAAUAUUACGGAGGAAAUUCCACGAUUAUUCCUUUAAUUUUAAUUGAAUUACUGUCUUCAAGAAUAAUAUCUCUUCUAUAGAAUGAUAUUACAUCGAAUAUAUGUACGUAUAAC